UACGUAGGAGGCAAGCGUUAUCCGGAAUGACUGGGCGUAAAGGGUGCGUAGGUGGUUUGGCAAGUUGGUAGCGUAAUCCCGGGGCUCAACCUCGGUGCUACUACCAAAACUGUUGAACUUGAGUGCAGGAGGGGUGAAUGGAAUUCCCAGUGUAGCGGUGGAAUGCGUAGAUAUUGGGAAGAACACCAGCGGCGAAGGCGAUUCACUGGACUGUAACUGACACUGAGGCACGAAAGCGUGGGGAGCAAACAGG
rnacentral:rRNA from 1 species